AUUGAACGCUGGCGGCAGGCCUAACACAUGCAAGUCGAACGAGUGGCGGACGGGUGAGUAAUGUAUGGGAAACUGCCCGAUGGAGGGGGAUAACUACUGGAAACGGUAGCUAAUACCGCAUACUAUCGGAUGUACCCAUAUGGGAUUAGCUUGUAGGUGAGGUAAUGGCUCACCGAGGCGACGAUCCCUAGCUGGUCUGAGAGGAUGAUCAGCCACACGGGAACUGAGACACGGUCCAGACUCCUACGGGAGGCAGCAGUGGGGAAUAUUGCACAAUGGGCGCAAGCCUGAUGCAGCCAUGCCGCGUGUAUGAAGAAGGCCUUAGGGUUGUAAAGUACUUUCAGCGGGGAGGCGUUACCGGCAGAAGAAGCACCGGCUAACUCCGUGCCAGCAGCCGCGGUAAUAC
rnacentral:rRNA from 1 species